rnacentral:rRNA from 1 species
AGAACGAACGCUGGCGGCAGGCCUCAAACAUGCAAGUCUAGGGGGUGUAGCAAUACAUCACCGGCGGACGGGUGCGUAACACGUGGGAAUAUACCUUUUGGUUCGGAACAACGCAGGGAAACUUGCGCUAAUACCGAAUGUGCCCUUACGGGGAAAGAUUUAUCGCCAAAAGGAUUAGCCCGCGUAGGAUUAGCUAGUUGGUGAGGUAAUGGCUCACCAAGGCUCCGAUCCUUAGCUGUUCUGAGAGGAAGAUCAGCCACACUGGGACUGAGACACGGCCCAGACUCCUACGGGAGGCAGCAGUUGGGAAUCUUGGACAAUGGGGGAAACCCUGAUCCAGCCAUGCCGCGUGAGUGAUGAAGGCCUUGGGUUGUAAAACUCUUUCGACGGGACGAUAAUGACGGUACCCGUAGAAGAAGCUCCGGCUAACUUCGUGCCAGCAGCCGC